GAGGCCACUGCCAUCAGCGUUCGAUUAAGCCAUGUUAGUCAAGGGGGGUCAUUCUGAUGGUUCGCCAUCGGGUGACCAAACCGGCGGACGGCUCAGUAACACGUGGACAACUUACCCUUGGGUCCGGGAUAACCCCGGGAAACUGGGGCUAAUACCGGAUGGGACAUCAUUUGCUGGAAUGCAGGAUGUCCAAAAGCUGAGGCGCCCAAGGAUAGGUCUGCGGCCGAUUAGGUUGUUGUUGAUGUAACGGAUCAACAAGCCUACGAUCGGUACGGGUUGUGAGAGCAAUAGCCCGGAGAUGGGUUCUGAGAAAAGAACCCAGGUCCUACGGGACGCAUCAGGCGCGAAAACUUUACAAUGUGCGAAAGCACGAUAAGGGAACUCUGAGUGCCUCCUAAGGAGGCUGUUCAGGUGUCUAAAAAGCACCUGGAGUAAGGGCUGGGUAAGACCGGUGCCAGCCGCCGCGGUAACACCGGCAGCCCAGGUGGUAGCCACUUUUAUUGGGUCUAAAGCGUCCGUAGCCGGUUGAGUAAGUUCCUUGGGAAAUUUGGCUGCUCAACAGUCAAGCUUCCAGGGAAUACUGCUCGACUUGGGACUGGGAGAGGUCAGAGGUACUCCAGGGGUAGGGGUGAAAUCCAUUAAUCCCUGGGGGACCACCGGUAGCGAAGGCGUCUGACCAGACCAGGUCCGACGGUGAGUGACGAAGGCUAGGGUCGCGAACCGGAUUAGAUACCCGGGUAGUCCUAGCAGUAAACGAUGCGGGCUAGGUGUUGGCACUACUGCGAGUGGUGCCAGUGCCGAAGGGAAGCCGUUAAGCCCGCCAUCUGGGGAGUACGGUCGCAAGGCUGAAACUUAAAGGAAUUGGCGGGGGAGCAC
rnacentral:rRNA from 1 species